UAUGUGAUCGUCUCUCGCAUAUCAAUAAGCGGAGGAAAAGAAACUAACAAGGAUUCCCCUAGUAACGGCGAGUGAAGCGGGAAGAGCUCAAAUUUGAAAUCUUAAAGGGUUUCCCUUUACGAAUUGUAGUUUAAAGAAGUGUUUUCUGUUGAGGUUUUGGUAAAAGUUCUUUGGAAUAGGACAUCAUAGAGGGUGAGAAUCCCGUAUUUGACCUUUACUUUCAACUUUGUGAUACACUUUCAAAGAGUCGGAUUGUUUGGGAAUGCAGUCCAAAAUGGGUGGUAAAUUUCAUCUAAAGCUAAAUAUUGGCGAGAGACCGAUAGCGAACAAGUACCGUGAGGGAAAGAUGAAAAGAACUUUGAAAAGAGAGUUAAACAGUACGUGAAAUUGUCAAAAGGGAAGCGUUUGACACCAGUGUUGUUUUUCUGAAAAUCAAUUAAAGAACUGUUUAUGCUAAGCUGUUUAGACUUUAUCAGCUAUCUGCUUAGUUUUGAGCUUUUCUUUAAUGCACUUUUCAGUUAACAAGUCAACAUCAAUUUCUUUUGCUGUAAAAAAGCUUGAGGGAGGUGGCUUGAGAUUCGUCUUAAGUGUUUAUAGCCUCUUGCCUAUGCAGUCGGAGAGAUUGAGGUCCGCAGCGUAGAUCCUUCGGGGCUAAAUGCAUUUGUGCUAAGUUAUAGCAUUUUAUAGACAACUUGUUGACUAUGAUUUGUCUUGUAGCUUACUCGCUUAUGUUAUUUUACCUACGCUUAGGAUGUUGAGUAGCGACAUACGCAC
rnacentral:rRNA from 1 species